rnacentral:rRNA from 1 species
CCUACGGGAGGCAGCAGUGGGGAAUAUUGGACAAUGGGCGAAAGCCUGAUCCAGCCAUGCCGCGUGUGUGAAGAAGGCCUUCGGGUUGUAAAGCACUUUCAGUGGGGAAGAAAGCCUUGGGGCUAAUACCCUCGAGGAAGGACAUCACCCACAGAAGAAGCACCGGCUAACUCCGUGCCAGCAGCCGCGGUAAUACGGAGGGUGCGAGCGUUAAUCGGAAUUACUGGGCGUAAAGCGCGCGUAGGCGGUCUGAUAAGCCGGUUGUGAAAGCCCCGGGCUCAACCUGGGAACGGCAUCCGGAACUGUCAGGCUAGAGUGCAGGAGAGGAAGGUAGAAUUCCCGGUGUAGUGGUGAAAUGCGUAGAGAUCGGGAGGAAUACCAGUGGCGAAGGCGGCCUUCUGGACUGACACUGACGCUGAGGUGCGAAAGCGUGGGUAGCAAACAGGAUUAGAUACCCCGGUAGUC